CCUUCCUCGCUCACCCUGGUUCCUCUCGGAGCGGAGACGGCAAAUGGCGGACUUCGAUACCUACGACGAUCGGGCCUACAGCAGCUUCGGCGGCGGCAGAGGGUCCCGCGGCAGUGCUGGCGGCCAUGGUUCCCGUAGCCAGAAGGAGCUACCUACAGAGCCCCCCUAUACAGCAUACGUAGGAAAUCUACCUUUUAACACGGUUCAGGGCGACAUAGAUGCUAUCUUUAAGGAUCUCAGCAUAAGGAGUGUACGGCUAGUCAGAGACAAAGACACAGACAAAUUCAAAGGAUUCUGCUAUGUAGAAUUUGAUGAGGUGGAUUCCCUUAAGGAAGCUUUGACAUACGAUGGUGCACUGUUGGGUGAUCGGUCACUUCGUGUGGACAUUGCAGAAGGCAGAAAACAAGAUAAAGGUGGCUUUGGAUUCAGGAAAGGUGGACCAGAUGACAGAGGAAUGGGUGGCUCUCGAGAAUCUAGAGGUGGAUGGGAGUCCCGGGAUGACUUCAAUUCCGGUUUCAGGGACGACUUCUUAGGAGGCAGGGGAGGGGGUCGUCCAGGUGACCGGCGAACAGGCCCUCCGAUGGGGAGUCGUUUCAGAGAUGGUCCACCCCUUCGAGGGUCCAAUAUGGAUUUCAGAGAACCAACAGAAGAGGAAAGAGCACAGAGACCACGGCUCCAGCUUAAACCUCGAACAGUUGCAACGCCCCUCAAUCAAGUAGCCAAUCCCAACUCUGCUAUCUUCGGGGGAGCCCGGCCCAGAGAGGAAGUUGUUCACAAGGAGCAAGAAUGAGCUUGCGGUUGGGAGGGAAUGGGGUGUAGGGGCAGUUAGAGCAAGACCACAGCCUGGCUAGCCCCCUGGACCGGCAGUCCUGCAGUUACCAUUCCUGCGCCUGACCUUUGUCCUCCUUUCUUACAAAGGAAACAGAGCUUGUGAGUGCAUGUCAGCAGUUAACAAGUGGUUUUUAGUACAUUCUUGGCUUUGCUGUAUCUAGUGCCUGUUCCGUGCGUUUUGUUUUGUUUUUUUUUUCCCCCUGCCACUCCUUCCCCCAUUUUCUGUCUUUUUUUUUCUUCUUGCUCCUUGUUUCCUUCCAGCACAUGAGUUUCUAGAGGGACAAAGGCAGCCACCAUGUGGGAGGUCUUUGGGUAUAGGUGCUGCUCCAUUUUCUCCUUUCUUUUCUCUUCAUUCUUUAAACAUACUGGCCAGACUCCAGUCACUUCCUUUGAUUUUCUCAGUGCUUCUCUUCCGACCUGCAUGUUGAGUUCUGUAUUUCUGUGGCUUUCAAAAAAAAAAAAAAAAAAAAAGUCACAAAGUGGACAUCUUGUUUUUAUUCAGCUUUGAUCAACAUACAGAUUUUGAGGCACCUUGUUUUCAAAUUCCUUCCCAUCCCUAUUUAUAGGUAGUUCUGUCUCUAUUGCCCCCUCUCCAAAUGGAUUAUUAGAGCAGAAUAUAUUUGGCUCAGAUUUCAAACAUGAAUCCUGAAGGGUAAUGUGAAAUGUCGGUAGGGAGUUUACAUGGAAGAUGAGUUGAAUGCACUACUGUGUUCACACGUUUUAUUACUGCUUUUCAACACUGUGUCCAAACUGGUUCCCUGCUUCAUCAGCUGCAUCAGAGACUCCUCUAUCUGUCUGGAUGCAGUGAACUGCCUACUGUUGGUUUCCUUUCUGCUGGGCACAGGUGCUUUGUGGGCAGGGCUGGGGUGGGAACAAAAGGUUGGGGGUAAGGGUGGUAAAGCUGUGCUGGGCUAACUUUAUAGUAUAGACAUUGCUUUUUCCAAAUCCCUAUUAUAUCUGUGUGUUCUGUGUCUCUCCCUUGCGUUUAUCUGUUCCCUGGUAUAACAAUAAGAUGCUGUGCUUCCCACCAUCCCUUAAUUUUAUAAUGAAAAUGGGCCUGGAAUCUGGCACUUUAUUGUUUCACUUGAUGAAUUGAGAAUUUUACUAUGCAGAGCUAUCAAGAACCUUAAAAUAAUUGGUAGGUGGCUAUAAGUUGCUGGGUCUCAUCUUUGAGACAAAGUUUAUUGUUCCCACAUAUAGUGUUCAGCAUGUACACAGGGCUAGGGGUUAGGCAAUAGCUUUGGAGCUUGAACACCCAUGUGUGGACAAAUUAAAUUCUUAGCACCUGGGUCCCAGCUGUUUCAUUCGGAGCAAUUCAGGGGCAGCCAGCAGCUAGAGCCCUACAGAAAAGAGACCCCCACCAGCAUGACAGGAGGGCUGAGGGGUGUCCUGGCCCACGCAGCGCGGUGUGCUUAGACAGGAGUUCGUCACUAGCUGGCAUCCUUGGCUUCUCUUACUCUGUCCUUGUUACAAGGUCUCAGCAAUUUACAGAACUCUCCCUUCUUUCCUUCCACCUGUCAUCUUUGCUUCUGAAAUAAGAACCAUUUGUGUAACACCAAUACUUAACUUAAGACAGACAUGCAUUAUGUGGUUGUAAUCAAACCUGAUGCUUUCAGAUGACCUACUUAUAUCUUCAAUGUGGAAAAGAUUAAGAACAAAACAAAUUCAUCUAAACUUCUGGGUGAUCCAGUUGACUUUUAAAUGUAAGAAUGGAAUUCCAAACACUUAACACAUUCAACUAUAUGACAGAAAGUAAAUAUGGAUAUGGUAUUUUGUGAAUGAUCUUUUAAAUAAAAGAAAACCUUACGUAAAAAAAAAAAAAAAAA